CCUACGGGAGGCAGCAGUCGAGAAUCAUUCACAAUGGGGGAAACCCUGAUGGUGCGACGCCGCGUGGGGGAAUGAAGGUCUUCGGAUUGUAAACCCCUGUCAUGUGGGAGCAAAUUAAAAAGAUAGUACCACAAGAGGAAGAGACGGCUAACUCUGUGCCAGCAGCCGCGGUAAUACAGAGGUCUCAAGCGUUGUUCGGAAUCACUGGGCGUAAGGCGUGCGUAGGCGGUUUCGUAAGUCGGGAGUGAAAGGCGCGGGCUCAACCCGCGGACGGCACAUGAUACUGCGAGACUAGAGUAAUGGAGGGGGAACCGGAAUUCUCGGUGUAGCAGUGAAAUGCGUAGAUAUCGGGAGGAACACUCGUGGCGAAGGCGGGUUCCUGGACAUUAACUGACGCUGAGGCACGAAGGCCAGGGGAGCGAAAGGGAUUAGAUACCCGGGUAGUC
rnacentral:rRNA from 1 species